UGGGGAAUAUUGCACAAUGGGCGCAACCCUGAUGCAGCCAUGCCGCGUGUAUGAAGAAGGCCUUCGGGUUGUAAAGUACUUUUGUUCGGGAGGAAGGUGGUAAGGUUAAUAACCUUAUCAAUUGACGUUACCGACAGAAGAAGCACCGGCUAACUCCGUGCCAGCAGCCGCGGUAAUACGGAGGGUGCAAGCGUUAAUCGGAUUUACUGGGCGUAAAGCGCACGCAGGCGGUUGAUUGAGUCAGAUGUGAAAUCCCCGGGCUUAACCCGGGAAUUGCAUCUGAUACUGGACAGCUAGAGUCUUGUAGAGGGGGGUAGAAUUCCAUGUGUAGCGGUGAAAUGCGUAGCGAUGUGGGAGAAUACCGGUGGCGAAGGCGGCCCCAUGGACAAAGACUGACGCUCAGGUGCGAAAGCGUGGGGAGCGAACAGG
rnacentral:rRNA from 1 species